AUAUGUACUUCAAUUGUCAGAGUGCUGCCUGAUAUUCAGAAGGUCCUGGAUCCGUCACUACGUAAGACAGACCAUGAGAGCUCCUGAAGAUUUAGAUCACUUCUUUUCUUGUUUGCUACCCCCAGCACAGAGGCGAUGGAGCCUUUGCCCUGGGGAGCCGAGAAGGUGGAUGUUAAAGAGAACCAACCGCUCAUGUCAGCAUCUGUCAUUUACCCCCUAUGUCACCUGGAACAAGUAACCCGGCUACUUUGCUUCAGUGCCCAAUAUGAGAUGGAAUCCUAAAGCAGUUGGAUUUUGUCUGCUGCACCUUUUAAAGAACGGCUUUGAGGUUUUCACUCCAACAUCUGACUCUCCAGUCUUUAUUGUGUCUGCUGCUUUGGAUCUCUCCAUAGACCCAGGACCUAAACCUUUCCUCCUACUGGGAAAGCUUGUACCUUCCUCCUCCUCUCCCAAAGAGCAAGAGUUAAGACGGGAGAGGCAGAAAAAUCCAACUGAAUAAAGCUUUCAAAAUGAAGAGGCAGGUCAAGUUCAACCCAGGAACACCUCUCCCAGUGCUUUCCCAACUAGUUAAGGUCAAAUUGCUGCAAGAGACAGUCAAAAUAUCAUGCCUACUCUAAGAUAGAACAUUUCUAUGAGGAAAAGAGCUUGACUGUGUUUCUACUGGAAGAAGGAUGUGGUCUGGAGCAUUCCUGGGGUGAAGCAAGAAAUGUGCUGCUUCAUACAGGAAGUCACAAACGACUCUUGGAACUACCUCUGGUCUUGUUUCCUUUGCACAACAAACAGUGGACCUGGUUAAGGAGGCUAGCAGGACAGUUUCCAGGGGACCUGGUUGUCCAGGAGGACAGUGGGACAAUUUCCAGUGGGCCUGGUUGUCCAGGAGGACAGAAGCACACAAUUUCUAGGGGACCUGGUUGUCCAGGAGGACAGUGGUACAAUUUCUAAUGGACCUGGUUGUCCAGGAGGACAACAGGACAAUUUCUAGUGGACCUGGUUGUCCAGGAGGACAGCGGAAUAAUUUCAGUUACUUGAGUGCUUUUGCAGGUUCCAUAGAAUGGAGUGGAGAGCAAGAGGAAAGCAGAAGGCAGCCUGAAGAAAGGAAGUUCCACAUGAGCUGGGGCUCCUUUCCAGAAAUGACAACACACAGUGACCUACUUAGAAAAUGAAAACAAACCAGAGGAAUUGGCCAAGGUCAGGUAUGGUGAUAUUUUAUUUGUGUUGAAAUGUGGUGAUAUUUUAUUUGUGCUUUAAUAAAGCUUGCCUGGAGA